CUUGGUGGCUAUGGAGAAGGGGAAAUACCUGACCCCAUUUCGAACUCAGAAGUCAAGCCCUUCAUCGCCGAUGGUACUGCACACAAUAGUGUCGGAGAGCAGGUCGCCGCCAGGC
rnacentral:rRNA from 1 species